AUUGAACGCUGGCGGCAUGCCUUACACAUGCAAGUCGAACGGCAGCACGGGUGCUUGCACCUGGUGGCGAGCGGCGAACGGGUGAGUAAUACAUCGGAACAUGUCCUGUAGUGGGGGAUAGCCCGGCGAAAGCCGGAUUAAUACCGCAUACGAUCUACGGAUGAAAGCGGGGGACCUUCGGGCCUCGCGCUAUCGGGUUGGCCGAUGGCUGAUUAGCUAGUUGGUGGGGUAAAGGCCUACCAAGGCGACGAUCAGUAGCUGGUCUGAGAGGACGACCAGCCACACUGGGACUGAGACACGGCCCAGACUCCUACGGGAGGCAGCAGUGGGGAAUUUUGGACAAUGGGCGAAAGCCUGAUCCAGCAAUGCCGCGUGUGUGAAGAAGGCCUUCGGGUUGUAAAGCACUUUUGUCCGGAAAGAAAUCCUUGGCCCUAAUACGGUCGGGGGAUGACGGUACCGGAAGAAUAAGCACCGGCUAACUACGUG
rnacentral:rRNA from 1 species